UAUAGCUCAGUGGCACAGCACCUGCCUAGCAAGCAUGAGGGUCUGAGUUUGAUUCCCAGUA
rnacentral:tRNA from 1 species